GACGAACGCUGGCGGCGUGGAUUAGGCAUGCAAGUCGAACGGUAUCAUCCUUUCGGGGGUGAGAGAGUGGCGAACUGGUGAGUAACACGUAGGUUAUCUACCCUCAAGACGGGGACAACCCAGGGAAACUUGGGCUAAUACCGGAUGUGAGCAACUUUUAGUUGUUUGAAAGGUGGCGUAAGCUGUCGCUUGGGGAUGAGCCUGCGUCCUAUUAGUUAGUUGGUGAGGUAACGGCUCACCUAGGCAAUGAUAGGUAGGCGGCCUUAACGGGUGGUCGCCCACACUGGGAUUGAGAUACGGCCCAGACUCCUACGGGAGGCAGCAGUCGAGAAUAGUCUACAAUGGUCGGAAGACUGAUAGUGCGACGCCGCGUGAACGAUGAAUCCCUUCGGGGUGUAAAGUUCUUUUAUAUGUGAGCAGUGCUUCUUAUAUUAACAGUAUGGGGAGAGAGAUAUUAGCAUAUGAAUAAGCAACGGCUAACUCCGUGCCAGCAGCCGCGGUAAUCAA
rnacentral:rRNA from 1 species